CUCCAACAACAUAGGUUACAAUUAGAGUAGCAUGACCAAUUAUGCAAAUUAGGUGAUGAUGUCAUUUAGCGACUUCUAGCGACUUUUAGGACAACCAAUAGCGAUUUUCCUUACUGAGGAGUUGGCAACAUUGCGUCGUGGUCUGAAUAAGUUUGAACUAGACCAAACGAGUCUGAGCAGACUGUGUGAUAGUGGUUUGUCGAUGUGUUCUGAACUGAAAACCUGCUAAGAAACUUUGAACAAACGUGGCCAAAAUUGGAUGAAAAUUACAAUUUUUCGACCAUUACAGAUUUUACCUGGUCUGAAGUUGGAGUGUAUUAUUUGACCAUUUUUUGGACAGGUGCGGGAGCUGCCGGCCAUUUGCCCUAGCAGGCGGAGAGAGGUCGUGGAGUGUCAGCCUAUGGUAUCUGAGGUCCAGGAGAGAUGACCUGCGCUGUUUUCCUCUGAGGAGGUAUUGUUUAGAUAUCUGAACAUUUCAUCGGAUCACAAGCAAAGACCUCCUGGGGACCUUCAAUGCAUCCCUUGACAAAGUUGUGCCUGGCCUGCUGAAACUGUACUGGUCUAAGAAGGGAGCUCUUGGUGAGGAGAUGGAAGACCUCCUGGAUAAACUUGAUGAACAGACAUCCAACACUGUGUCCAACGGGCACUGAGAGGCCUGCCCAUUUUCCUCAAGACAAGAUGCAACAGAGGUUUUCCUGAAGUGCUUA
ensembl:lncRNA